rnacentral:tRNA from 1 species
GGCUUACUGGUAAAGCAUCUGCCUGCCAAGCAGGAGACUCAGGUUUGAUCCUUGG